GCGCGGGUAGCCAAGUGGCCAAAGGCGCAGCGCUUAGGACGCUGUCUCGUAGGAGUCCGCCGGUUCGAAUCCGGUCCCGCGCA
rnacentral:tRNA from 1 species